GUUUACUUCUUUGUUGGACCAACAGAUGGAUUAAGACCAGUUGCGAGCAAUAGCGUCUUACACUUUCCAAAAGACCCAUACACAAGCGAUUCGCCAUAGUCCAAUCGAUUGAGGAGGACAACCUCCCCUAUAAAUGUCCGAGUUGGAGGUG